ensembl:misc_RNA Y_RNA Y RNA
GGCUGGUCCGAUGGCAGUGGGUUAUCAGAACUUAUUAACAUUAGUGUCACUAAAGUUGGUAUACCACCCCCCCCCCCACUGCUAAAUUUGACUGGCUUUAA